GUGAGGAAUAUUGCACAAUGGGCGCAAGCCUGAUGCAGCGACGCCGCGUGGGUGAUGAAGGCUUUCGGGUCGUAAAGCCCUUUUCUAGAUGACGAGCAAGGACGGUAGUCUAGGAAUAAGUGUCGGCUAACUACGUGCCAGCAGCCGCGGUAAAACGUAGGACACAAGCGUUAUCCGGAGUUACUGGGCGUAAAGGGCGUGUAGGCGGAACUAUAAGUCUAUUCUGAAAGCUCCUGGCUAAACUGGGAGAGGCGAAUGGAGACUGUAGAUCUAGAGUGAGGAAGAGGAAAGUGGAAUUCCGCGUGUAGUGGUGAAAUGCGUAGAGAUGCGGAGGAACACCAGUGGCGAAAGCGACUUUCUGGUCCUUAACUGACGCUGAGGCGCGAAAGCAUGGGGAGCGAACGGGAUUAGAUACCCGGGUAGUCC
rnacentral:rRNA from 1 species